rnacentral:rRNA from 1 species
CCUACGGUGUGCUGCAGUGGGGAAUAUUGCACAAUGGGGGGAACCCUGAUGCAGCGACGCCGCGUGGGUGAAGGAGUAGUGCGGUAUGUAAAGCCCUAGCAGCAGGGAAGAACAAUGACGGUACCGGACUAAGACGCAACGGCGAAAUACUUGCCAGCAGCCGCGGUAAUACGUAUGGUGCAAGCGUUCUCCGGAUUUACUGGGUGUAAAGGGAGCGCAGGCGGCGCGUUAAGCCUGGUGUGAAAGCCCGCGGCCCAACCGCGGGACUGCAUUGGGAAAUGGCGCGCUGGAGUGCCGGAGGGGUAGGCGGAAGUCCUAGGGUAGCGGUGAAAUGCGUAGAUAUUAGGAGGAACACCAGGGGCGAAGGCGGCCUACUGGACGGUGACUGACGCUGAGGCUCGAAAGCGUGGGGAGCAAACAGGAUUAGAUACCCGAGUAGUC